AACAUUCACUAAAGUAUUCUGAUACAGAUAAAAAUGAGCUGGUAGAUCAAAUUGUAAAUUAAUUUAUAAUUUUGAAUAGUGUUUAUUUGAUAAAGUGAUGGAAAAUACUCGGUUUCGUUUUCGGAUGCAGUAUUUCUAUAAAAAAUUACAUUACUUGAAUUCUAUUAUUCAUAAAAUAAAUUAAGAAAACACAGAUGUGGAGAUCCAAAUAAAUAGGCUUUAAAACAAAACAAUAAAAAAUCAAUCUUUAAAAAAAAACAACCCAAUCUGCCUUUUCAAUGAAGUAAGAUUCCUUCAACCCUCGAUUAUGCUUUAACGCUUAUCCAACAACAUAGCUGCGGACGAAAGCAGCAACACGGUUGCGUAUGAUAACCGGACUUACCUACGAAUAAAAUAGAUUCGCCCAUCCAAUCCACAACCGUGUUGAGCUUUAGCCGCUAGUAGCAGUCGGAGGGCAGAGUUCAGAGUUCACUAGACUGGAGGAAAGAAUGGACGUCCGCCGAGAAGGUUGCGACCGGAAAUCGAGAAGACAUGAUACUCUGAAAAAAGGCCGAACAAGAAUUCCUCUGCAAAUGCUUCCACUUUUGAAAAUCCAUUCAAUUGAAUUUGAAAAGAGACAAUAGCAACAUGGUUAUGUGAAUGGAAUUAUAAAAAUAGAAAAUGCUGAUGUUAUUCCAAUGGGUGUGCAAGAAUGGGCAGUCAAGGAAUGAAAUAAAUACAAAUUUUCUAGUCCAGCAGUAAGGGAAAAAAGAAUUCGGAAAGUUCAAGUGAUGGGGAAAACCUUUCUACCCCAUGAAGAGAAAACAUCAACAAGACUCUAAGGUUGUUUCCUGAUUGUAAAGACGACGAUUACUUGCCACCCCUAACACCUGCAGUGCCUCAAUUGGUCGGUUUUUCCCCCUCGUUUGGAACAGGAAAAGAUUCCACAAGACUAUGUUCCUAAUGCAGAAUCUUUUUUUAAACCCCAAAAUGAGAAAUGACUGCAACAAGAACUCCAAAUAGAUUCGUAUGGUUUCAAAUUGCCCUUUUUACCAUCAAGUCUCAAGAACCAGUUUCUUGCACGUAUCGACAGUCAUCCAAAAUGAUGAUGAUUAAUGACUUGAUUAAUAAUUGUUAUUUACAAACUAUAUUCUAUGCUUGUGAAAUUUCUUGUAAGCCGGUAUGUUAGUUUCUAUGCAUUCUAAUGCAUAAAAUUAUGUGUUUAAUUUACUCAAAUAAAAAUAUCUAUAUUAUAUCCACAAUUAUGAUUGGUAACUUUUUAACAAAAGAAAUCCUGUGUAAUAUAAAAUUAUUUAUAAAGAAUUUUAACCCUGAGGUUUCUUAGAAUACAAAAUUUGGACUUGCUUGGUUGUAAUAUCCUGCAGUCUAAAAUCUAUGUUAAGAAAUUUUGCAGAUGGUUAUUAUAUCGGAAAUUUCAAAGGUGAAAGCUGAAAUUUUAUCAGCCCAAUUCAAAACUUUAUUGUGUUUAAACUAAGUCCAAAUGUUAUUUUUCUCUUGGUCUUUGAAGCAAAAAGGGAAAUGGUUGUUAUGAAAUUGAUAUUAAUUCCCCUCAAAUAUCUUUUUUUUCUUUCUCUCUCCCCUUCAGUUUCUCUUGAUUUGUCUUUAUUCUUCAAAUAUUUAAUAUAUUUUUAUUUAUUUAUUUUUCAGUUUUUCUCUGUGGACUUUGAGCAAUUUCUUCUAUAGAUCUCCACACAAUCCAUUGAAUUUGGAGCUGAUACGUUUGGUAUGACUAAUAAAGCUGGCUUUGCAGCUUUGUAAACGAUACAGAACAACAUCCUUUGAUUUGCACUUGGUCUCCCACGGUGGACACCUCUCAAUUUUAUAUAAAAUAUGAAAUGAAAUCAAUAUGAAACUUAGGUUCGAAAAGAAAAACGUGAUAUUCUUUGUGAAUCAGUUCUCAGCCCACGAAUACACAGAAGUAUCGAGAUCAAUAUCAAAGGUGAAAUCUGUAAUCUCUAACCGCAUUUUCCAAAGACUCCCAUGUGUAGGCACAUUAGAAGAAUAUUGCCAUAAUAAAAACAUUUCUCCUGGACCAACUAAUCCCGAUUAUGGUUCCGGUAAGUUGAGAUAAUUGUAAGCAUUUUGCUAUCAAGACCCGUGACUUGAGCUUCCAACAAAGCUUGGAUCUGACUACCAUUAAACAUUUGUUUGCCGAGUUCAAGUCACAGCUCCCCCCGAACCAAUUAUCCCGGCCACAGAUGCAUCCAAGAAUGAGAAUUCUACUGCUGUGGUGGCUGUCAACUGCUCCUCGAAUGUUGUCAUUAAGGGAACAGUUCACAGCAUUAAGUCUUGUGUUUUCAUGGGAGGGCUUCGCUAUAGCUCUCGCUGUAAUGAACUUUGUCGAAGAAUAUAAAGAUUAUAUAUUAUUGACUGGCAAUUUAUCCAAUUUGACAGCACUGACAUGCCUAAACUUCCAUUCUCCCAGAAGUGCUCUUUUUGUGGCCCAAGUUAUAUUUAAUGCUUUAAAGAUAUGUUUCUCAUUAGAGCUGAUAUACAUUCCUGCCCACGUGGGAAUUGCAAAAAAUGAAUGGGCUGAUGAUUUAGUUAAGCAAGCCUUGUCUUCUCUUAAUAUCUGCAUCUGGAUCUCGCCCAAAGACACCUGUUCGGUAUGUGCUAAAAUUGUAUGACAUAAACAAAACUUAGAAUGGGAAAAUUCUAAAUACUAUGAAAAAUACAAAUGGCUUGAUGGUUUCAAUUUUAAAAAACUCAAUUUAUCUAGACGUAAUGAGGUCUUAAUUUUUUGAUUAAUAUCUAGGACUCUUCCAGUCAAUACAGUUCUUCAUGAAUGUAGGCUCAUUGAAUUAUCAAAUUGUGUCCAUUGCCAGAUUCCAGAAACUUGUGAACAUUUUGUCCUCUCUUGCCGUAAAUAUGAGACGACUAGAGAUUCUCUCCGUGCCAAGUUGGGUUGUAUACCACUGUCUUUAGAUUGGAUUUGUGAUUUCGCCCUUCAGGGUUGUCAUAAAGUGAAGGCUAUUUUAGCUUUCUUUGUUGAUUCUGGCAGAUUUUUAAUUUUUUGUGAUAUUCGUGUUUUGAUUUGGUUAAUCUGGCACAAGCUAAGAACUGGUUCAGGAGCAUACGCCGAAAAACAAACCUCCAUUCCUUCCUUCCUUCCUUCUUAAAUUUCUCUUCUUUCUUAAGUUUUUUGUUUUUGCUAUGCUGUUUUUUUUAGUUGAAUAUGUUAUGUAGUAUUUUUUAAUAUGUGUUUUAAAAGUUGUCUUUUAAAUUUGUUAUAAUUUUUUUAACUCUUUAACCUAAUUUUGUAUCAUACUUUAAUAAUUUAAAAAAUUUAAUUGUACUUAAUUAGCAUAU